UGCCUGUAAGACUGGGAUAACUCCGGGAAACCGGAGCUAAUACCGGAUAGUUCCUUGNNCCGCAUGGUUCAAGGAUGAAAGACGGUUUCGGCUGUCACUUACAGAUGGACCCGCGGCGCAUUAGCUAGUUGGUGGGGUAAUGGCUCACCAAGGCGACGAUGCGUAGCCGACCUGAGAGGGUGAUCGGCCACACNGGGACUGAGACACGGCCCAGACUCCUACGGGAGGCAGCAGUAGGGAAUCUUCCGCNANGGACGAAAGUCUGACGGAGCAACGCCGCGUGAGUGAUNNAGGUUUNNUCGGAUCGNAAAGCUCUGUUGUUAGGGAAGAACAAGUGNGAGAGUAACUGCUCGCACCUUGACGGUACCUAACCAGAAAGCCACGGCUAACUACGUGCCAGCAGCCGCGGUAAUACGUAGGUGGCAAGCGUUCGGAAUUAUUGGGCGUAAAGGGCUCGCAGGCGGUUUCUUAAGUCUGAUGUGAAAGCCCCCGGCUCAACCNGGGAGGNUCAUUGGAAACUGGGAAANUUGAGUGCAGAAGAGGAGAGUGGAAUUCCACGUGUAGCGGUGAAAUGCGUAGAGAUGUGGAGGAACACCAGUGGCGAAGGCGACUCUCUGGUCUGUAACUGACGCUGAGGAGCGAAAGCGUGGGGAGCGAACAGGAUUAGAUACCCUGGUAGUCCACGCCGUAAACGAUGAGUGCUAAGUGUUAGGGGGUUUCCGCCCCUUAGUGCUGCAGCUAACGCAUUAAGCACUCCGCCUGGGGAGUA
rnacentral:rRNA from 1 species